AAAAGAAGAGUGGCGAACGGGUGAGUAACACGUGGGUAACCUGCCCAUCAGAAGGGGAUAACACUUGGAAACAGGUGCUAAUACCGUAUAACAAUCGAAACCGCAUGGUUUUGAUUUGAAAGGCGCUUUCGGGUGUCGCUGAUGGAUGGACCCGCGGUGCAUUAGCUAGUUGGUGAGGUAACGGCUCACCAAGGCCACGAUGCAUAGCCGACCUGAGAGGGUGAUCGGCCACAUUGGGACUGAGACACGGCCCAAACUCCUACGGGAGGCAGCAGUAGGGAAUCUUCGGCAAUGGACGAAAGUCUGACCGAGCAACGCCGCGUGAGUGAAGAAGGUUUUCGGAUCGUAAAACUCUGUUGUUAGAGAAGAACAAGGAUGAGAGUAACUGUUCAUCCCUUGACGGUAUCUAACCAGAAAGCCACGGCUAACUACGUGCCAGCAGCCGCGGUAAUACGUAGGUGGCAAGCGUUGUCCGGAUUUAUUGGGCGUAAAGCGAGCGCAGGCGGUUUCUUAAGUCUGAUGUGAAAGCCCCCGGCUCAACCGGGGAGGGUCAUUGGAAACUGGGAGACUUGAGUGCAGAAGAGGAGAGUGGAAUUCCAUGUGUAGCGGUGAAAUGCGUAGAUAUAUGGAGGAACACCAGUGGCGAAGGCGGCUCUCUGGUCUGUAACUGACGCUGAGGCUCGAAAGCGUGGGGAGCAAACAGGAUUAGAUACCCUGGUAGUCCACGCCGUAAACGAUGAGUGCUAAGUGUUGAGGGUUUCCGCCCUUCAGUGCUGCAGCUAACGCAUUAAGCACUCCGCC
rnacentral:rRNA from 1 species